CAGCAGCCACGGUAAUACGAAGGGGGCAAGCGUUAAUCGGAAUUACUGGGCGUAAAGCGCGCGUAGGUGGUUUGUUAAGUUGGAUGUGAAAUCCCCGGGCUCAACCUGGGAACUGCAUCCAAAACUGGCAGGCUAGGGUAGGGCAGAGGGUGGUGGAAUUUCCUGUGUAGCGGUGAAAUGCGUAGAUAUAGGAAGGAACAUCAGUGGCGAAGGCGGCCAUAUGGGACAACACUGACGCUGAGGCACGAAAGCGUGGGGAGCAAACAGGAUUAGAUACCCCCGUAGUCCCUGUCUCUUAUAC
rnacentral:rRNA from 1 species